GUCUUUCUCCAGCUCUGCUUCUUCCUCUGGCUCUUCAUCAGGUGGAGGAGAACGUGGAGAAAAGGGAGACAAAGGCUUGAAGGGCAGUUCUGGGUUUGGUUACCCAGGCUCCAAGGGGGACCGUGGC